UCCAGCUCCGGGGAGGUUGUUUAUGGCAGCAGCCAGCUCCACGCUGCCGGCAGAUUCCCCAACCUGCCUUUGUGUCAACUUUCAACAAGCCUGCCAAAUAACGACAAUGGCACCCGGAUAUCAGAGGCGCUGGGAGGGGAAGGGGAGGAAGAAGAGGAGGAGGAAACAAGAGUGGGCUGCUAAGGAGAGCGGGGCCACGCGCGAGGAUGGCGUCCAUGGGGCAUGCAGCGGCCGUUGCUCCCGGCACUAUGAGCUGCUGCCUGGUGUCUGAGCCAGCCAGAGGAGGGCUGCGGGGGGACAACAAAUCCCAGCAGGCACACAGAGAUGCGCCCGCAGUGCUGGUGCUCCCCGAACCCAAUGUUUCUGCUCUGCCUGCACUAGGUGCCCCCCCAUGGCCGGAGCUCCCUGUCUGCUCUACAGCAGGAGGAAGGCAGCACGGUGCCGCAGGUAGCGGGUUUGGGGGCCCUCGCUCUCUUUGGGAAAGCCUUGCUGUCUUUCCGAGGGGUGUUUCCCUGUCGGCAAGGCAGAGACAGUGCUAACGCUACAUGAGCGGCACCGUGAAACCCUCCACGGAAGAAGGUCCCGCACACGCACGGCUCGGUCAUCGCGACUGCCACAGGGUGUCUCACGCGCCUCCAGCCUGCAAACAUCUCUGCACAUGCACAUGCAGAGCCACUUUGUUCUGCUUAAUCCUUGAAGCAAUAAAAGAAGGCUGCAUUAAGUCAAA